GGGUGACCUGGGGAGGAGAGGCCGUGGCCGUGGUGCAGCUCCAGUCCGCCACCUGCUGGUGAUGCAGAGGAUGACGAGAGCCCAGCAGGUAGCGGUCGGCGGCUGAGCGGGGCAAGAAGUCGGAUCAGGCUGUGGACGGCGUGGAGAGCGGGUCGGAGGAGGUGACGCCGAGGCCCUGAUCCGGAGGGCCGAUUGAGAGGAGGCGAGCGAGGGCGACUCCAGGC